GAUCAGGGCUCAGGAUGAACGCUAGCUACAGGCUUAACACAUGCAAGUCGAGGGGCAGCAUGGUCUUGGCUUGCUAAGGCUGAUGGCGACCGGCGCACGGGUGAGUAACACGUAUCCAACCUGCCGUCUACUCUUGGCCAGCCUUCUGAAAGGAAGAUUAAUCCAGGAUGGGAUCAUGAGUUCACAUGUCCGCAUGAUUAAAGGUAUUUUCCGGUAGACGAUGGGGA
rnacentral:rRNA from 1 species